UACGUAGGAUGCGAGCGUUGUCCGGAAUUAUUGGGCGUAAAGAGAACGUAGGCGGUUUGUUAAGUUUGGGCUUAAAGACUGGGGCUCAACCCCAGGAGUGGCCUGAAAACUGACAGACUAGAGGAUGGCAGAGGAAAGUGGAAUUCCCAGUGUAGCGGUGAAAUGCGUAGAUAUUGGGAGGAACACCAGUGGCGAAAGCGACUUUCUGGGCCAUUCCUGACGCUGAGGUUCGAAAGCUCGGGGAGCAACAGG
rnacentral:rRNA from 1 species